CGGAUUCUUAGGAGACUUGAAUGUGGUGUUUGUCGGUGCGGACUGUUUAUUUCUCGGCUAGUCAGCAUGUAGGGGCAUUGCUGGUAUCAUUCCGGAGACGCGCACUGAGAAUACAUCUGGUAACUUUCAGGAGUACUUCCAGCAGUGUGGAUUAUACCUUCAUGCAAGGUUUUGUAGGAGAAGGGAAUGGAUGACUCUACACUUCCUAAGUGCUCGCUCUUCCUUCAGUCUCUAAAGAAAGCAGCUUGGUAUUAAUUUGGCUAAUCCACUGUGGCAUCCCUUUCAUCAGCAUCCAAGUGCGGGUCCUAGAACAAUGCAGGAGAGGAGGAGGUCGGCACACAUUUUCUCAGACACGCUGACUCACAGGUGUAGGCCGUAAUCAAGGUCCCGGGCGGACCGAAACGUUGGCCCCGAUUCCAUGUGAUGACUGAACUAUAAAGUUGGUGUUGGCAAACAAUGACAAA